GACGAACGCUGGCGGCGUGCUUAACACAUGCAAGUCGAACGGAAAGGCCUUGUUUUUGUGGGGUGCUGGAGUGGCGAACGGGUGAGUAACACGUGAGUGACCUGCCCUUGACUUUGGGAUAACUUCAGGAAACUGGGGCUAUUACCGCAUAGGAACUCCUGAUGCAUGGGGGGGGUGGGAAAAUUUCGGCGGUUGGGGAUGGAUUCGCGGUUUAUCAGCUUGUUGGUGGGGUAGUGGAUUACCAAGGCUUUGACGGGUAGCCGGCCUGCGAGGGUGACCGGCCACAUUGGGAUUCAGAUACGGCCCAGACUCCUACGGGAGGCAGGAGUGGGGAAUAUUGCACAAUGGGCGGAAGCCUGAUGCAGCAACGCCGCGUGCGGGAUGACGGCCUUCGGGUUGUAAACCGCUUUCGCCUGUGACGAAGCGUGAGUGACGGUAAUGGGUAAAGAAGCACCGGCUAACUACGUG
rnacentral:rRNA from 1 species